GACGAACGCUGGCGGCGUGCUUAACACAUGCAAGUCGAACGGAAAGGCCCUGCUUUUGUGGGGUGCUCGAGUGGCGAACGGGUGAGUAACACGUGAGUAACCUGCCCUUGACUUUGGGAUAACUUCAGGAAACUGGGGCUAAUACCGGAUAGGAGCUCCUGCUGCAUGGUGGGGGUUGGAAAGUUUCGGCGGUUGGGGAUGGACUCGCGGCUUAUCAGCUUGUUGGUGUGGUAGUGGCUUACCAAGGCUUUGACGGGUAGCCGGCCUGAGAGGGUAACCGGCCACAUGGGGACUGAGAUACGGCCCAGACUCGUACGGGAGGCAGCAGUGGGGAAUAUUGCACAAUGGGCGGAAGCGUGAUGCAGCAACGCCGCGUGCGGGAUGACGGCUUUCGGGUUGUAAACCGCUUUCGCCGGUGACGAAGCGUGAGUGACGGUAAUGGGUAAAGAAGCACCGGCUAACUACGUG
rnacentral:rRNA from 1 species